GAUGAACGCUGGCGGCGUGCUUAACACAUGCAAGUCGAACGGAAAGGCUCCUGCUUGCAGGGGUACUCGAGUGGCGAACGGGUGAGUAACACGUGGGUGAUCUGCCCUGCACUUCGGGAUAAGCCUGGGAAACUGGGUCUAAUACCGGAUAGGACGAUGGUUUGGAUGCCAUUGUGGAAAGUUUUUCGGUGUGGGAUGAGCUCGCGGCCUAUCAGCUUGUUGGUGGGGUAAUGGCCUACCAAGGCGUCGACGGGUAGCCGGCCUGAGAGGGUGGACGGCCACAUUGGGACUGAGAUACGGCCCAGACUCCUACGGGAGGCAGCAGUGGGGAAUAUUGCACAAUGGGCGCAAGCCUGAUGCAGCGACGCCGCGUGGGGGAUGACGGCCUUCGGGUUGUAAACUCCUUUCGCUAGGGACGAAGCGCAAGUGACGGUACCUGGAGAAGAAGCACCGGCUAACUACGUG
rnacentral:rRNA from 1 species